ensembl:snoRNA
UAGGCCCUGAAUCAAGACCAAUGGUUUGCAGUAGCUUUUGGUUUCAAACAGGAGCAAAGAGCCAUGUCUUCCUAUGGUCUGUUGGCUAUUCAGUACCCCAGAGGGGAGUGGCCAGUUCAGUUGGAAGAAACAUAG